AUACCACUCUGUCACAUCCUAUUGAUCAUACAUAAAGUUUUAAUAUCACUUCACAGUCCCUAAUGAUUUUAAACCUAAGCUUUGAUACCACUCUAUCACAUUCUAUUGAUCGUACACAAAGUUUUGAUAUUACUUCAUAGUCCCUAAUGAUCUUAAACUUAAGCUCUGAUACUCCUUUGUCAUGCUCCGAACCUAACACCC
rnacentral:lncRNA from 1 species